rnacentral:rRNA from 1 species
AGCUCCAAUAGCGUAUAUUAAAGUUGUUGCAGUUAAAAAGCUCGUAGUUGGAUUUCGGAUUGGGCCAGUUGGUCGGCCGCAAGGUCUGUUACUGACUGGUUCGGUCUUCUUGUCAAAGACUGCGUGUGCUCUUCGUUGAGUGUGCGUAGGAUUUGGGACGUUUACUUUGAAAAAAUUAGAGUGUUCAAGGCAGGCUUUUCAGCUUGAAUACAUGAGCAUGGAAUAAUGGAAUAGGACUACGGUCCCUAUUUCGUUGGUUUCGAGGACCGAAGUAAUGAUUAAGAGGGACAGUUGGGGGCAUCCGUAUUUCAUAGUCAGAGGUGAAGUUCUUGGAUCUAUGAAAGACGAACAACUGCGAAAGCAUUUGCCAAGAGUGUUUUCAUUAAUCAAGAACGAAAGU